rnacentral:rRNA from 1 species
UACGAAGGGGGCUAGCGUUGCUCGGAAUCACUGGGCGUAAAGCGCACGUAGGCGGCUUUUUAAGUCAGGGGUGAAAUCCUGGAGCUCAACCCCAGAACUGCCUUUGAUACUGAGAAGCUUGAGUCCGGGAGAGGUGAGUGGAACUGCGAGUGUAGAGGUGAAAUUCGUAGAUAUUCGCAAGAACACCAGUGGCGAAGGCGGCUCACUGGCCCGGUACUGACGCUGAGGUGCGAAAGCGUGGGGAGCAAACAGG